UACUUUCAGCGGGGAGGAAGGCGAUAAGGUUAAUAACCUUGUCGAUUGACGUUACCCGCAGAAGAAGCACCGGCUAACUCCGUGCCAGCAGCCGCGGUAAUACGGAGGGUGCAAGCGUUAAUCGGAAUUACUGGGCGUAAAGCGCACGCAGGCGGUCUGUCAAGUCGGAUGUGAAAUCCCCGGGCUCAACCUGGGAACUGCAUUCGAAACUGGCAGGCUAGAGUCUUGUAGAGGGGGGUAGAAUUCCAGGUGUAGCGGUGAAAUGCGUAGAGAUCUGGAGGAAUACCGGUGGCGAAGGC
rnacentral:rRNA from 1 species